rnacentral:rRNA from 1 species
GAUGAACGCUAGCGAUAGGCUUAACACAUGCAAGUCGAGGGGCAGCAUGGUCUUAGCUUGCUAAGACUGAUGGCGACCGGCGCACGGGUGCGUAACGCGUAUGCAACUUGCCUCACAGAGGGGGAUAACCCGUCGAAAGACGGACUAAUACCGCGUACACUUGGGAUAGGGCAUCCUGACCCAAGGAAAUGAACUUCGCUGUGAGAUAGGCAUGCGUCCCAUUAGCUAGUUGGUGAGGUAACGGCUCACCAAGGCGACGAUGGGUAGGGGAACUGAGAGGUUGAACCCCCACACUGGUACUGAGACACGGACCAGACUCCUACGGGAGGCAGCAGUGAGGAAUAUUGGUCAAUGGGCGAGAGCCUGAACCAGCCAAGUCGCGUGAAGGAUGACUGUCCUAUGGAUUGUAAACUUCUUUUAUACGGGAAUAACAAGAGUCACGUGUGGCUCCCUGCAUGUACCGUAUGAAUAAGCAUCGGCUAACUCCGUG